CAAAGCCCUGAGCUGAUCUCCCUGUGCUAUGCGGGUUGUUGUUUCUUAAAGCCCGGUGCUCGAGAUGCUCCAGCCCAGCCUGUUUAUCUUGUGAGCUGCCGCAGCUCCGUCCCUGUGUGAUUACAUCUUUCCUUGGUGUUCUGAGCCUUACGUUACAGAUGCAGGGAUGAUGCGUUACAAAACCAAACAAAUCAGCCCUUAGGACAGGCGACUCAGGCAAAUCAACCAUCACCGCCACAACAAAAGAAGCUUUCAAACCCACAAGAGAAGACAAGAUUGUAAUGCCUUCCUAACAACAUUGCUUUAUUGACGCAAGGCAAGGAAAACUACAUUAAAUUCUAUCGAUUCUCUUUGAGAUCUAAUAAUAUGCUUUAUUCAGAUCUUAUUCACAUCCCUCUUCUUCCAUGGGUCUAUCUCAGGAGCUGACAUUGGCCAGUUACAAAACAGAAUUGGUUCUGCUGUCAUUGGAAGUCACAGAGGCGAACGUGUUUUCGAACACAAAAUCUACCAUGCUUUCUUUGGGAAAUAAGGCACAGCUGGAAAAAAAAAAAUCUCACUUCAAAACAAAAUUGAAAGCAUGGCUAACUUGAGAUUUAUUUGAUUAGUCUUUCUCUGGGCUGACCAGUUUUAGAACCCAUUCCUAUUGGCACCAAUGAGCCAAUAAAAUAUCCAGCAGGAGAGAAGAAGUAUCACAUCAACUCAGAGAAACAAAGUUGUUCAUUUUUUUUUUUUUUUUUUUCUGGCCGCCCGGGCCCCUCCAGAGCCGGCAGCCUCAGUGAGACCGCCCUCCCCUCGGCCUCCGGGGCACUUUCGUGGCGGCGGAGGGAAGAGACCCCGAGCUGCGGGAGUUCCAGCUCUGCGGAAACGCGGGCUCCGUUCUGGGCGCAGGGGGUGGGACCCACUUGUUCAUUUUUUUAAAAAGCAUUGAAUUAAUGUUUACACUGCUGAGUCAAGUUAUUUAUACAUAUGCUAUAGGUUUUGCAUCUCCAGAAUAUGUUUGCAUUAAGAGUAUGAUAAAUUGUACCUGACUUACUUGUGAAAAAUCAUCUUGAGAAAGGUUUCUUUUCCCCUGGGAAAAUAUGGAAAUGACACAUGGUGUGUACAGCCAGAAACACUCAGCAGAAGGAGAGGCGGGUUUUUAGCUGUCACAAUGGAUGGUUAAGAAUUUCGGAUUUGGGUCAGUGUCAUUACGCUCAAGUCACUUCACCUCGAAACCUCAUUCUUCAUCUCCAGAAUAGGUUCCAAACUCAGUGUUUUCUGUAAAUAUUCAGUAGGAUAAUACAUGCACAGAGUUCGACAUUAACCCUCCCAGAGGCCAAUAAGAAUUCAAUAAAUGCCAACUUCUCUAUCAUAUUCUUACAGAAGAAUGCUUGCCUGCUUUACCUUUCGUCUGUGAAAAAAUCACAAAAAGGAUUAAGUUCGUUGAAAAGAAAGGUGGGUCUUGGGCCCCCUUAGCACAUGUUUUCUCCAUCCUUUCUAAAAAGUGAUGCUAACAAACGAACAGGUGUUAUAGGGAGAAGGUGGAGUAACCAGAACAUUCCUACGUUGCUGGUGGGAAUGUAAAAGAGUGUAGACCUUUUGGAAAACUCUUUGGUGGCGCCUCAAAAGUUAAACAGAUAUGGCCCAGCAGUUCCACUCCUAGGUAUAUACUCAGGAGAAUUGAAAACAUGCAUUCAUACAAAAACUGGUUCUUGAAUGUUCACCGCAGGAUUAUUUGCCGUAGUGGAAAGGUGGAAAGACACAGCUCAAGUGUCUAGCAACUAAUGAAUGGAUAAACAACAUAUGGGACAGCCGUGCCAGGGAAUUUUAUUUGGCAACAAGGUACAGUGAGGUAUGGACACAAGCUACAACAUGGAUAAACCCUGAAAACAUGAUGCUGAUGGAAAGAAACCAGUCACAAAAGGCUACAUACAGCAUGAUUUCAUUCAUACAGAACAUGCAGAAUAAACAGCUCUAUAGAGACAGGAAGUAAUUCGUGGUUGCCUAGGGCUGGGAGGGAGGGCAGGAAUGGGGGGCGACCGCUAAUGGACACAGGGUUUGUUUUUGGAAGGAUGAAAAUUUUCUGCAAUUAGAGAAUGACGAUGGUCAUACAACUUUGUGAGUAUUCUCAGGACACUGAACUGUACCUUCUAAAAUGGUGAAUUUUAUGCUUUAUGAAUUGUAUCUGGAAAAAAAUCAAUGAAUGCUUAAUGUGGAAAAUAAGAAAACAAGGAAACAAAAAUUGUCAUUCUAGCAUCCAGAGAUAACCACUGCAAAUGCUUUGAUGUAGAUCCUUCCAGACUGAUGCAAAUAUAUACAUUUAAAAAAUAAAAUAAAAUGGGAUCAUA